rnacentral:tRNA from 221 species
GCGGGUGUAGCUCAAUGGUAGAGCAGCAGCUUCCCAAGCUGACGACGAGGGUUCGAUUCCCUUCACCCGCUCCA